GCAGGAAUUGGAGUGCUGUAACACAAUCACAGCUCACUGCAGCCUCAAACCCCUGGGUUCCGGCCAUCCUCCCGCCUCAGCCUCCCCAGUAGCUGGGACUACAGCCCAGUAAAGGCGCCAUUCCCCAUUUUACAGCUGGGGAAACUGAGUUACAGAGCUUAUCCGCACUGAGUCAACAGGAGCAAAUGCUAGAUCAGGUCUAGCUGGAGUAGAGUGAUGCAGUCAUAGCCCACUGCAGCCUCAAAUUCCUGGGCUCGAGCAAUCCACCCACAUCAGCUUCCCAAGUAGUUGGGACUACAGGCCCACACUACUAUAUCCAGGGUCUGUCUCUCUGCCACCCAGGCCAGAGUGCAGUUGAUGCAGGGCAGGGGAGCCCCGAAGUGGAGCAUAGUGUGUCCGGAACUGGUGGGUUCUUGGUCUCACUGACUUCAAGAAUGAAGCUGCAGACCCUCGCGGUGAGCGUCACAGUUCUUGAAGGCGGCAUGUCCGGAGUUUCUUCCUUCUGAUGCUCGGAUGUGUUCAGAGUUUCUUUCUCCCGGUGGGUUCAUAGUCUCGCUGGCUUCAGGAGUGAAGCUGCAGACCUUCAAGGUGGAGUGCAAUAGUGUGAUCUUAGCUCCCUGCAACCUCUGCCUUCUGGAUUAAAGAAAUUCUGCUGCCUCAGCCU
rnacentral:lncRNA from 1 species